GAAACUUCAUUACACCCGAGACUUCAUUCGAGACGCAGGUAAAGUGAGCCACCAAUAGGAUGGCGGGGGAAUGUUUGGUUACCAAUUCCUUGCAUGACGCCACUAAAUAUACUCCAGGAUAAACAAGAAAUCAGAGGAAGUGACACACUGCGUCAUCAUUUCAUCAUCUCUGUAUAGGAAAGAAAUGUUUCUGUGGAAUCAUAGAGAGAAGACAAACACCAGGGUUGCCUGUGUAUCUUCUGCGUCAACACAAAACAUCAGUAUUGGAACAAAUUUGUCAGCAGGGGAAUGAGAGUUGGAUCAAUAUCAGUUGCAAGGCACAUCUGACAAGAAUCAGAAGACCUGACAAAGCUGGUUUACCUCUGCUUCACAACACUACACCCAUGUUCCUCAUAUUUAAACAAAGCUGUCAGACCAGAUGCAGAACCUCCCACCAAGAUCUUCAAGAGGUGGAACAGGCAGCUAACCUUGUUCAGCUCAGAGCAGGACAGGCCAUUCACUACAUGCAGCUGAUGUCAGGAGUGCAGUUUGUUGUGACUUAGGUUCAAUGAUUACCAUGCUAAAUGUUUGCUGUUCAUACUAAGAAG